rnacentral:lncRNA from 1 species
AGAAAUGUGCGAUAAAAACGUAAUUGGAAGAGAAAAUAAUAAAAUAAAAAUAAAAAGAUGAAAAAGAAAUAACAUAAAAGAUUAGUGAUUAGAAUAUAAGAGGUGAGAUGUACAUGACAAAGAAGAUGAAAAAACAAUAACAUAAAAAUAAAAAAUAUGAAAAAGAAAUAACAUAAAAGAUUAGAGAUUAGAGUAUAAGAGGUGAGACGUACAUGACAAAG